UACGGAGGGGGCUAGCGUUGUUCGGAUUCACUGGGCGUAAAGGGUGCGCAGGUGGGUUUGCAAGUUCGAUGUGAAAGCCCCGGGCUUAACCCGGGAAUGGCAUUGGAUACUGCAGAUCUGGAGGAUCGGAGGGGGGACUGGAAUUCUUGGUGUAGCAGUGAAAUGCGUAGAUAUCAAGAGGAACACCUGCGGCGAAGGCGGGUUGCUGGGCUGACACUGACGCUGAGGCGCGAAAGCCAGGGGAGCGAACGGG
rnacentral:rRNA from 1 species